AAACCAACAGGGAUUGCCCCAGUAGCGGCGAGUGAAGCGGCAAGAGCUCAGAUUUGAAAUCGUGUUUCGGCACGAGUUGUAGAGUGUAGGCGGGAGUCUCUGUGGAGCGCGGUGUCCAAGUCCCUUGGAACAGGGUGCCUGAGAGGGUGAGAGCCCCGUAGGGUGCUGCGCGAAGCUUUUGAGGCCCUGCUGACGAGUCGAGUUGUUUGGGAAUGCAGCUCCAAGCGGGUGGUAAAUUCCAUCUAAGGCUAAAUAUUGGCGAGAGACCGAUAGCGAACAAGUACUGUGAAGGAAAGAUGAAAAGCACUUUGAAAAGAGAGUGAAACAGCACGUGAAAUUGUUGAAAGGGAAGGGUAUUGGGCUCGACAUGGGGGGUGCGCACCGCUGUCUCUUGUAGGCGGCGCUCUGGGCGCCCUCUGGGCCAGCAUCGGUUCCUGCUGCGGGAGAAGGGGCUCCGGAAAGUGGCUCUUCGGAGUGUUAUAGCCGGGGCCAGAUGCCGCGUGUGGGGACCGAGGACUGCGGCUUCUGUCUCGGAUGCUGGCAUAACGGCGCAAUACCGCC
rnacentral:rRNA from 1 species